CCUACGGGAGGCAGCAGUGGGGAAUAUUGCACAAUGGGGGAAACCCUGAUGCAGCGACGCCGCGUGAGUGAAGACGUAUUUCGGUAUGUUAAGCUCUAUCAGCAGGGAAGAGAAUGACGGUACCUGAGUAAGACUCCCCGGCUAACUACGUGCAAGCAGCCCCGGCACUACGGAGGGGGCCAGCGUUAUCCGGAUUUACUGGGGGUAAAGGGAGCGUAGACGGCGAAGAAAGUGUGAAGUGAAAGCCCGCGGCUCAACAGCGGAACUGCUUUUGAAACUUCUUUGCUGGAGUACGGGAGAGGUAGGCGGAAUGCCUAGUGUAGCGGUGAAAUGCGUAGAUAUUAGGAGGAACACCAGUGGCGAAGGCGGCUUACUGGACGGUAACUGACGUUGAGGCUCGAAAGCGUGGGGAGCAAACAGGAUUAGAUACCCUGGUAGUC
rnacentral:rRNA from 1 species